CGUGACCUUUGCGGACAUGCGAUGGGCUAUCAAAAGUGGUCGAUCUGUAUGCUUGAAUUCCUAAACGAAUGGCGUCGAUCCUUGCCUAUAUAAACCAUUCAUAGGAGACUCUCUAGGUAAGUAUUCUCGAGCCCUCUUACACCUUUAUGCUUCCACUCCACCGCUCUCCCAACACCUCCGCUAUUCUCUGAGAAUCAAUUCAUCUGACUUAUUCGUUAGAGGGUCCCCCAUCAAACACUAUUCAACAAAAGAACUUUCUUGUCUUUGUUAUUUCAAGUCGGAUCUAAAAUCGAAAUAAAGGUCCGAGCACGGUCUCCUCCUC
rnacentral:lncRNA from 1 species